rnacentral:snRNA from 1 species
UAUCAAUUUAAUAUCUGAUACAUCCUCCAUCCAAGGACAAUAUAUUAAAUGGAUUUUUAGAACAGGGAGGUAGAACAGGAGCUUGCUCUGUCCAUACCAUGCACUGGCCUGGGAUUGCAGUACUUCAAGGAAUGGUAC